rnacentral:sRNA from 1 species
ACACGGGAAAGGAGGUGGUCCGGUAGUGAUGAUUUCUCGGACACGUGAGGUGAUCGCGCGAUAAGCGCGUCCACGCCUUGACGGACGUGUGAUCUCGAAUCCCACGCGAUCACCGCGUCCGGCGGACAUGGUGCGGCCUCGUCCACCGCACCGGCGACGCGCCAUCCGCCGGGCGUCCCAC